rnacentral:lncRNA from 1 species
CCCCCGCGCCGCAGCCGGCAUCGCGGCGGGACCCGGAGCCCGGAGUUCGGGUGGGUAACCCGAGCUCUCCAAGCUCUUGAAGCCGCGAGGGUGGCUUAGCUUCGGUGUUUUGGCUGAGAACACCCUUAAAGCUUAAAAUAAAACCUGCCUCUGGGGUGCAGGGGAGGAGAGAGGAGGACGCGAAUCACACCCGCUGCUGCGCGCCAGCCCGCCCCGUCUGUACAAUGGGAUGCUCGGGACUCGGACGGGAGGAUCCAGUGACUGCGAGCCCCGCAUUCGCCCGAUCCCAGCCUCACACCCCCAGCCAGCCCCCAGAGACCCUCCCACACUUACGAAGGAAAUGCAUGCGGCCAGGAGGAGAAUCCGCACCAGGAGGUCUUCAAACUGCUCUAUCACCAGCUCCCACAGGGUCUUCCCUGGGGGAGGAGGCAAGGGGAGGGCCCCGGGUUAAGGUCUAGUGGGUGAAGGUCUGGGAUGGAGCGCCCUGGACUCCGGCCUGCAGUGGGGAGGCUCUAGGGUGGUGGGCAGACAGCUUGGUGCCCAGAGAAGGGCUAAGAAGCUCGCCUGGAGUCCAGAAACAGACUCGGCAAAGUGGGGGGCAGUUCAAGGGUUGGCUGCUUCAAGGAGAAAGCGCCUGGGAGACUUCUGCCCCGGACAGGACUCUAACCUUUAGGGAGGGAGAUUUGCCUUUUGGGAAGGGAUAUUUGCUCAAAGAAUCUAAAGAGGCAGGGAGGAGGGAGUGGGACAGGGCGGGGUGGGGGGUGGUCAUUUAUGAGAGUUCAGGGAUUCCAGUAACUUACCUUCCUCAGCAGGGAGCUCUACCCAGGAAAAAGAAGAAAAGGACAGAUUCAUUUGGGGUUCAGCCUCAUGCCCCCCACACCCAAGACUUUGUGGCUAAGAGAAUCAGGCCACCUUGAGGUUCAUCAAGUUCAUCCCAUUAAAACCUCCCAAAACUCUGGAUCUCGGGACUCUGUUUUCUCAGUAUCUUCUUCCCCCUGCGAGCAUUGGACAACGGCCCAGCUCUUCCUUAAGAAACCCUGAA